rnacentral:rRNA from 1 species
GACGUAGGGCGCGAGCGUUGUCCGGAUUUAUUGGGCGUAAAGAGCUUGUAGGCGGUUUGUCGCGUCUGCUGUGAAAUUUCGGGGCUCAACCCCGAACUUGCAGUGGGUACGGGCAGACUAGAGUGUGGUAGGGGAGACUGGAAUUCCUGGUGUAGCGGUGAAAUGCGCAGAUAUCAGGAGGAACACCGAUGGCGAAGGCAGGUCUCUGGGCAUUACCUGACGCUGAGGAGCGAAAGCGUGGGGAGCAAACAGG